rnacentral:rRNA from 1 species
GAUGAACGCUGGCGGCGUGCCUAAUACAUGCAAGUCGAGCGAACGGACGAGAAGCUUGCUUCUCUGAUGUUAGCGGCGGACGGGUGAGUAACACGUGGAUAACCUACCUAUAAGACUGGGAUAACUUCGGGAAACCGGAGCUAAUACCGGAUAAUAUUUUGAACCGCAUGGUUCAAAAGUGAAAGACGGUCUUGCUGUCACUUAUAGAUGGAUCCGCGCUGCAUUAGCUAGUUGGUAAGGUAACGGCUUACCAAGGCAACGAUGCAUAGCCGACCUGAGAGGGUGAUCGGCCACACUGGAACUGAGACACGGUCCAGACUCCUACGGCAGGCAGCAGUAGGGAAUCUUCCGCAAUGGGCGAAAGCCUGACGGAGCAACGCCGCGUGAGUGAUGAAGGUCUUCGGAUCGUAAAACUCUGUUAUUAGGGAAGAACAUAUGUGUAAGUAACUGUGCACAUCUUGACGGUACCUAAUCAGAAAGCCACGGCUAACUACGUG